ACCGCAGUGUCGGCCGGCACAAAG
rnacentral:misc_RNA from 1 species